UACGUAGGGGGCAAGCGUUGUCCGGAUUUAUUGGGCGUAAAGCGCUCGCAGGUGGUUCGUUGCGUCGUGCGUGAAAGCCCCCGGCUCAACUGGGGAGGGUCACUCGAUACUGAUCGACUUGAAGGCAGGAGAGGGAAGCGGAAUUCCCGGUGUAGUGGUGAAAUGCGUAGAUAUCGGGAGGAACACCAGUGGCGAAGGCGGCUUCCUGGCCUGUUCUUGACGCUGAGGCGCGAAAGCUAGGGGAGCAAACGGG
rnacentral:rRNA from 1 species